CCGAGGCCGAAAGGCGUAGGGGAAGGGAAGGGGGUUAAUAUUCCCCCGCCACCCGAGUGGAGGACGCGGGGUGACGCAGGAGGGAAAGCCGAGCCGGGAGGUGGUUUUCCCGGUCUAAACCUCUAGGGGGCUCCCCUAGGCAAAUCCGGGGAAGCGUCUCAGACAUAUGUCUGGGCCAACCCUGAGGGGUGAUGGGGAGGGGGACUUCGGUCCCCCGAACUCGGCUGGACCACACUGCCGAGAAAUAGCCUCGCGUUCCUGUGAAACUCGGGUGACCGUACCGCAAACCGCCACAGGUGGGCGGGCAGAGUAUGCUAAGGUGCGCGGGUUAUCCCCCGCUAAGGAACUCGGCAAUUUGGCCCCGUAACUUCGGGAGAAGGGGUGCCCCUAGUAGGUGAAACCCCUUUUAUUAAAAGAGCGGGGAGUAGCCGAACGGGGUCGCAGCGAAGAGGGCCUGGCGACUGUUUACCAAAAACACAGGGCUCCGCCAACUCGAAAAAGAGGAGGUAUGGGGCCUGACGCCUGCCCAGUGCCGGAAGGUUAAGGGGAGGGGUGAAAGCCCCGAACCUAAGCCCCGGUAAACGGCGGCCGUAACUAUAACGGUCCUAAGGUAGCGAAAUUCCUUGUCGGGUAAGUUCCGACCUGCACGAAUGGCGUAACGACUGGGCCAGUGUCUCGGCGGGGGGCCCGGCGAACUUGUAGUGGUGGUAAAAAUGCCACCUACCCGCGGCGGGAGCAAAAGACCCCGUGGACCCUUACUGCAGCCUGGCGUUGGGUUCUGGCUGGUCAUGUGCAGAAUAGGUGGGAGGCUGUGAAGCCGGGGCGCCAGCUCCGGUGGAGCCGUCAGUGAGAUACCACCCUUGGCCAGUCGGGGCUCUAACCUCCACGGUGGAGCCCGUGGAGGGACAGCGCUUGGUGGGCAGUCUUGCUGGGGCGGCAGCCUCCUGAAAGGUAACGGAGGCGCCCAAAGCUCCCCUCAAGGCGGACGGCAACCGCCUGGUGAGUGCAAGGGCAGAAGGGGGGUUGACUGUGAGGCCGACAGGCCGAGCAGGGGGGAAACCCGGGCCUAGUGACCCGGCGGUCCCGUGUGGAAGGGCCGUCGAUCAGCGGAUAAAGGGUACCCCGGGGAUAACAGGCUGGUCCGGCCCGAGAGUUCCCAUCGACGGCCGGGUUCGGCACCUCGAUGUCGGCUCACCCCAUCCUGGGGGUGAAGAAGCUCCCAAGGGUUGGGCUGUUCGCCCAUUAAAGGGGUCCGUGAGCUGGGUUCAGACCGUCGUAAGACAGGUCGGCUUCUAUCCGCCGUGGGCGCAGGGCACUUGAGGGGGGCUGCCCCUAGUACGAGAGGACCGGGGUGGGGGGACCUCUGGUGUACCGGUUGUCCCGCCAGGGGCACAGCCGGGUAGCCAUGUCCCUAAGCGAUAACCGCUGAAAGCAUCUAAGCGGGAAGCGCGCCCCAAGAUAAGGUGCCCCUUCCCUUCUCAUACCUGGCAAAAGCCAGGUAUGAGAAGUGGAGUAAGGCCCCCGGAAGACUACCGGGUAAAUAGGCGGCAGGUGUAAGUCCCGUAAGGGAUUGAGCCGAGCCGUCCUAAUCGGCCGAGUGGCUUAAACU
rnacentral:rRNA from 1 species